rnacentral:rRNA from 1 species
UGAGGCGUGGCUUCCGGAGCUAACGCGUUAAGUAGACCGCCUGGGGAGUACGGCCGCAAGGUUAAAACUCAAAUGAAUUGACGGGGGCCCGCACAAGCGGUGGAGCAUGUGGUUUAAUUCGAUGCAACGCGAAGAACCUUACCUGGUCUUGACAUCCACGGAAGUUUUCAGAGAUGAGAAUGUGCCUUCGGGAACCGUGAGACAGGUGCUGCAUGGCUGUCGUCAGCUCGUGUUGUGAAAUGUUGGGUUAAGUCCCGCAACGAGCGCAACCCUUAUCCUUUGUUGCCAGCGGUCCGGCCGGGAACUCAAAGGAGACUGCCAGUGAUAAACUGGAGGAAGGUGGGGAUGACGUCAAGUCAUCAUGGCCCUUACGACCAGGGCUACACACGUGCUACAAUGGCGCAUACAAAGAGAAGCGACCUCGCGAGAGCAAGCGGACCUCAUAAAGUGCGUCGUAGUCCGGACUGGAGUCUGCAACUCGACUCCAUGAAGUCGGAAUCGCUAGUAAUCGUGGAUCAGAAUGCCACGGUGAAUACGUUCCCGGGCCUUGUACACACCGCCCGUCACACCAUGGGAGUGGGUUGCAAAAGAAGUAGGUAGCUUAACCUUCGGGAGGGCGCUUACCACUUUGUGAUUCAUGACUGGGGUGAAGUCGUAACAAGGUAACCGUAGGGGAACCUGCGGUUGGAUCACCUCCUUACCUGAAAGAA